rnacentral:rRNA from 1 species
GACGAACGCUGGCGGCGUGCUUAACACAUGCAAGUCGAACGGAAAGGCCCUGCUUUUGUGGGGUGCUCGAGUGGCGAACGGGUGAGUCACACGUGAGUAACCUGCCCUUGACUUUGGGAUAACUUCAGGAAACUGGGGCUAAUACCGGAUAGGAGCUCCUGCUGCAUGGUGGGGGUUGGAAAGUUUCGGCGGAUGGGGAUGGGCUCGCGGCUUAUCGGCUUGUUGGUGGGGUAGUGGCUUACCAAGGCUUUGGCGGGUAGCCGGCCUGAGAGGGUGACCGGCCACGUGGGGACUGUGAGACGGCCCAGACUCCUACGGGAGGCAGCGGUGGAGAAUAUUGCACAAGGGGCGGAAGCCUGAUGCAGCAACGCCGCGUGCGUGAUGACGUCCUUGGUGUUGUAAACCGCUUUCGCCUGUGACGAAGCGUGAGUGACGGUAGUGGGUAAAGAAGCACCGGCUAACUACGUG